GGGGGAUAACUAGUCGAAAGAUUAGCUAAUACCGCAUACGACCUGAGGGUGAAAGUGGGGGACCGCAAGGCCUCAUGCUAUAGGAGCGGCCGAUGUCUGAUUAGCUAGUUGGUGAGGUAAAGGCUCACCAAGGCGACGAUCAGUAGCUGGUCUGAGAGGACGAUCAGCCACACUGGGACUGAGACACGGCCCAGACUCCUACGGGAGGCAGCAGUGGGGAAUUUUGGACAAUGGGCGAAAGCCUGAUCCAGCAAUGCCGCGUGUGUGAAGAAGGCCUUCGGGUUGUAAAGCACUUUUGUCCGGAAAGAAAUGGCUCUGGUUAAUACCUGGGGUCGAUGACGGUACCGGAAGAAUAAGGACCGGCUAACUACGUGCCAGCAGCCGCGGUAAUACGUAGGGUCCAAGCGUUAAUCGGAAUUACUGGGCGUAAAGCGUGCGCAGGCGGUUGUGCAAGACCGAUGUGAAAUCCCCGAGCUUAACUUGGGAAUUGCAUUGGUGACUGCACGGCUAGAGUGUGUCAGAGGGGGGUAGAAUUCCACGUGUAGCAGUGAAAUGCGUAGAGAUGUGGAGGAAUACCGAUGGCGAAGGCAGCCCCCUGGGAUAACACUGACGCUCAUGCACGAAAGCGUG
rnacentral:rRNA from 1 species